rnacentral:rRNA from 1 species
UACGGGGGGGGCAAGCGUUGUUCGGAAUUACUGGGCGUAAAGGGCUCGUAGGCGGCCAACUAAGUCGGACGUGAAGUCCCCAGGCUCAACCUGGGAACUGCGUCCCAUACUGCUUGGCUUGAGUACGGGAGAGGAUGUGGGAAUUCCUGGUGUAGCGGUGAAAUGCGUAGAUAUCAGGAGGAACACCGGUGGCGAAGGCGCACAUCUGGCCCGAUACUGACGCUGAGGCGCGAAAGCUAGGGGAGCAAACGGG